rnacentral:rRNA from 1 species
GAUGAACGCUGGCGGCGUGCCUAAUACAUGCAAGUCGAGCGAACGGACGAGAAGCUUGCUUUUCUGAUGUUAGCGGCGGACGGGUGAGUAACACGUGGAUAACCUACCUAUAAGACUGGGAUAACUUCGGGAAACCGGAGCUAAUACCGGAUAAUAUUUUGAACCGCAUGGUUCAAAAGUGAAAGACGGUCUUGCUGUCACUUAUAGAUGGAUCCGCGCUGCAUUAGCUAGUUGGUAAGGUAACGGCUUACCAAGGCAACGAUGCAUAGCCGACCUGAGAGGGUGAUCGGCCACACUGGAACUGAGACACGGUCCAGACUCCUACGGGAGGCAGCAGUAGGGAAUCUUCCGCAAUGGGCGGAAGCCUGACGGAGCAACGCCGCGUGAGUGAUGAAGGUCUUCGGAUCGUAAAACUCUGUUAUUAGGGAAGAACAUAUGUGUAAGUAACUGUGCACAUCUUGACGGUACCUAAUCAGAAAGCCACGGCUAACUACGUGC